CUCUUAAGCUCAGCAGCCCUGAGGUGUGGUAGCCUCACGCUGACCCAUACAGAAUGCAACAGAACUGUCCCUGCUGCAGAAGUCUCAGGGUUCUGCCCCAACUGCAUAGACUUCUUUCAUGGAACCGGCUCCUCUAUCCCCACAAGGCUUCUCCCCAGCACAGCUUCUACCUAGAAUCAGACGGAGAGCUUUAGACCAGAGAGAAAACGGAGGCGUGGUGACACCAAGUGACAUGCUCCAAGCCGCUGAACAUGUUGGUGGCAGAGCUAGAACUCGACACCAAGUCUCCUGGCUUUAGUCCACUGUGGCUCUCAAUCCUCGCACACGCAGAGCACAGACCGUUUUUGGUACACGAGGCUUACCCUGGGAACUGCCCUCCCUCUGUGGCUUGGCGAGGGGGGUCGGGGGAAAGGGUAGGGAGGAUGUGAGGGGUGGGGAGCAGUGCUCUCUCUGCCUGUUUCAGGAAGGCUCUCUGGUUUGGUGAGAGCCCACACUUUGUUAAGUGAGAUAAGGGACACUACAAGAAAAGGAGGGGGUGGGUGGGCAGAGGACAUCACGCUGCUUAUUUUGAACCUGGGAAAACUGUGCCUUAGGAGAGGGAAGUCCUGCAUAUUUCAUGCUGUGACUUCUUGCUUCCAAACUGCGUAUGCUGGCCUCCUUUUCACCCAGAUGGUGCUGCAGGGAACAAGGCCCCACCAGUGUGUGCUCUUCCUGUGUGUCCAAAUUUCCACCAAAGAGGGCUCCUCCCAGGAGAUUGGCUGCCGAACCUGUUCUUCCACGGCAGAAGCGGCGCAGCUAGCCCAGCACGACUCUGCUUAUUGUUACGCUUCUGCCACAUGUGUGUAAAUUUGUAAGGAACUUGCCGCUCCUGGCUGAAGACCCAGG
rnacentral:lncRNA from 1 species